CCGACCACUUCGCAGCUUGGUGCGGUUCAGCUAUGUUAUGAAGCCAUAGACAGUAAUGGUUGUUCCGGACCUUUCCAGUGUGACACACUACAAGUUGUAGAUGAUCCAUGUUUGCUGGGGGCACCCUGCUUAAAUGGUGGAACCUGUACUAGUAUGGGGGAUCAG